GGACAGUGAAGAUUGAUAUUUGGCGAGGUUUGUAGUAGCUGGCAUUUGUUUGCCUUGCGGACCAUACUACUAUAUCAUCAUCUAUACUCCCAGUCC
rnacentral:snoRNA from 1 species